AGGGUUCGAUUCUGGCUCAGGAUGAACGCUAGCUACAGGCUUAACACAUGCAAGUCGAGGGGCAGCAUGUGGUUGCUUGCACCAAUGAUGGCGACCGGCGCACGGGUGAGUAACGCGUAUCCAACCUUCCCCUUAGUAGGGCAUAGCCCGUAGAAAUGCGGAUUAAUACCCUAUGUUGUAUAUUGAGGACAUCUGAUUUAUACCAAAGGUUUACCGCUAAGGGAUGGGGAUGCGUCUGAUUAGGUUGUUGGCGGGGUAACGGCCCACCAAGCCGACGAUCAGUAGGGGUUCUGAGAGGAAGGUCCCCCACAUUGGAACUGAGACACGGUCCAAACUCCUACGGGAGGCAGCAGUGAGGAAUAUUGGUCAAUGGACGAGAGUCUGAACCAGCCAAGUAAGCGUGCAGGAUGACGGCCCUAUGGGUUGUAAACUGCUUUUAUACGGGGAUAAAGUGACCCACGUGUGGGUUUUUGUAGGUACCGUAUGAAUAAGGACCGGCUAAUUCCGUGCCAGCAGCGGC
rnacentral:rRNA from 1 species